rnacentral:RNase_P_RNA from 1 species
UUGGGAGAGUGGAGAAUCGCUCUCGACGCAAGUUGAGGGAGGAAAGUCCGAACACCAUAGGGCACGACGCCACGUAACUCCGAUUCGGUCGGAGAUACACGCGGGAGGAACGUUUCAAAGCGUUUCGACGGAAAGUGCCACAGAGAAUAUACCGCCAGAGCCGAAGUUGCGUUCGAGGGAAACUUCGAAAGGCUACGGUUCUGGUAAGGGUGAAAAGGUGGUGUAAGAGACCACCGCGUUUUGUGUAAACAAAACGGCAUGGAAAACCCCGUCCGGUGCAAGGCCAAAUAGGGAGCCCACGAACGGCCCGUUCACGGCAGAGCAAUCUGCCAGGGUUCCGGGUAUGGCUGCUAAGACAAAUGAUUCUCUCCCCCGGUUUCCGGGGCAGACAAAACUCGGCUUACAACUCUCCCAAAGUC